UGAGGAUAGCACCUUUCAGAGUCCAGAAACUCACCUCAACCACAGGCCCUUAUUUUGUCUCUUCCAUCCUCCAGAAGCCUCUUAACCUUGAAGUAGGAAAGAUGACCAGUCUUGGAUUUGACCUCAACCAAUCAUGGAUGGAGUCAGUGAAUAAAUAUCUCAUCUCGCCCUUCAGGAAACAGUUUUUGAGAACACACAAGACAUUAGGGGAUCCUUAUGGGUCUGAACCCCUUGUGUUGUUGUGUGCUGCGGAGAAGAGAGAGAGGAGAUCCAGAGCGAAGAGGGAACACAAAUCUUUAUUUGCGCUGGCACCUCAGAGUUGGGUGCUAGAGAAGCAGGUUGGGCCACGUGGAGGUAGCGAAAAUAGCCGCCUCACACAGUAACCUUUCCUGCGUCUGAACACCGAAGUGGAGCGCUGGUAAGAGAGCGAGUUAUACCACCCAGCAUUCAGGAUAAAGCCAAAUUGAGGCAGUUUUGCAAACUUUUACCAAAGGUGUUCUCAAGCCAACGUGAAGUUGUUAUAAUCAGGAAGCUCCAAGACCAUACCAAUGUUGUAAUGAAGUGAAAGACAAAUGCCAGAAGAUAUCAUUCACAUAUAGAAUGUAAAUAAGGCAAAUGAAAUUGAAUUAAUAAUAAUAAUAACAACCAAACUGACUCUUAA